CUACAGCCAUACCUCCCUGAAAGCGCCUGAUCUUGUCUGAUCUCAGAAGCUAAGCAGGGUUUGGCCUGGUUAGUACUUGGAUUGGAGGAAGCAAAAGAAAACCAGCUCUAAUUAGC
rnacentral:rRNA from 1 species